rnacentral:lncRNA from 1 species
AAUGUAGCAAUUGUUGUUUGCUUUCGUAGAGGUAAUUGAGACACCACUACAAUAGAAUUAGAUUAUAUCGACACAUUUUUGGAUCGCUUUUGUGUAAGUGUACCAUUUAUAUCAAAACUUUUAAAAAUAUAUAUAUUAAGGCCUAAAUAUAAAGCCUAAUUCAAUCAAAAAUAAAAAAUUUCUCUACUCAACCGACCACACCCAGCCCACUCGACCCGAUUACAAAGAAAAAAAAAGAAGAAGAAAAAUUGAUCAUCUUUUCCCUUUCUCCUCCUUCGCCACCGCAACUGACGAGAUAGAGUUCCAGCGGCUGGAGUUCGGCCGCGAGGAUCUCGUAGGGACUGUACAGGUUUAUGAUCGCCACACAUCCCUCCGCCAUAAAUUACUGGAGGAAUCGGUGCCAAAUAUCAAAGCGGCCCCACAUAUAGCAACACUUUAAAAAGUGUAAGUAAUUUAGCCAGCAGUACAUUUUUUGACCUGUACCAACAUAUAAAAGUAUCGCUAUACACUAUUUUUGUUGUAGUGAGUUCAUUUGCACUUUGUC